UACGUAGGAUGCGAGCGUUAAUCGGAUUUACUGGGCGUAAAGCGUGCGCAGGCGGCCCGUUAAGACAGGUGUGAAAUCCCUGGGCUCAACCUAGGAAUUGCGCUUGUGACUGGCGGGCUCGAGUACGGUAGAGGGGGGUGGAAUUCCUGGUGUAGCAGUGAAAUGCGUAGAGAUCAGGAGGAACACCGAUGGCGAAGGCAGCCCCCUGGGCCUGUACUGACGCUCAUGCACGAAAGCGUGGGUAGCAAACAGG
rnacentral:rRNA from 1 species